GCGGCGGACGGGUGAGUAACACGUGGGUAACCUGCCUGUAAGACUGGGAUAACUCCGGGAAACCGGGGCUAAUACCGGAUGCUUGAUUGAACCGCAUGGUUCAAUUAUAAAAGGUGGCUUUUAGCUACCACUUACAGAUGGACCCGCGGCGCAUUAGCUAGUUGGUGAGGUAACGGCUCACCAAGGCAACGAUGCGUAGCCGACCUGAGA
rnacentral:rRNA from 1 species